AUUGAACGCUGGCGGCAGGCCUAACACAUGCAAGUCGAACGGUAACAGAAAGCAGCUUGCUGCUUUGCUGCCGAGUGGCGGACGGGUGAGUAAUGUCUGGGAAACUGCCUGAUGGAGGGGGAUAACUACUGGAAACGGUAGCUAAUACCGCAUAACGUCGCAAGACCAAAGAGGGGGACCUUCGGGCCUCUUGCCAUCGGAUGUGCCCAGAUGGGAUUAGCUAGUAGGUGGGGUAACGGCUCACCUAGGCGACGAUCCCUAGCUGGUCUGAGAGGAUGACCAGCCACACUGGAACUGAGACACGGUCCAGACUCCUACGGGAGGCAGCAGUGGGGAAUAUUGCACAAUGGGCGCAAGCCUGAUGCAGCCAUGCCGCGUGUAUGAAGAAGGCCUUCGGGUUGUAAAGUACUUUCAGCGGGGAGGAAGGGAGUAAAGUUAAUACCUUUGCUCAUUGACGUUACCCGCAGAAGAAGCACCGGCUAACUCCGUG
rnacentral:rRNA from 1 species